AACCGCGGUUAUACGAAAGGCCCAAGUAGACAAUUUUCGGCGUAAAGAGUGGUUUAUUUAAACAAUACUAAAGCCGAACACCCUCAAGACUGUCAUACGUGUUCGAGAACAUGUAAGCCCAUUUACGAAAGUGGCUUUAUAAAAUAACACCACUAAAGCUGAGGCA
rnacentral:rRNA from 1 species